UGGGCUGUUCGCCCAUUAAAGUGGUACGCGAGCUGGGUUCAGAACGUCGUGAGACAGUUCGGUCCCUAUCCGUCGCAGGCGUAGGAAAUUUGAGAAGGCCUGUCCUUAGUACGAGAGGACCGGGAUGGACGUACCUCUGGUGUACCAGUUGUUCUGCCAAGGGCAUGGCUGGGUAGCUAUGUACGGAAUGGAUAAGCGCUGA
rnacentral:rRNA from 1 species